rnacentral:rRNA from 1 species
UACGUAGGGUGCAAGCGUUGUCCGGAAUUAUUGGGCGUAAAGAGCUCGUAGGCGGUCUGUCGCGUCUGCUGUGAAAACUCGGGGCUUAACCCCGGGCCUGCAGUGGGUACGGGCAGACUAGAGUGCGGUAGGGGAGACUGGAAUUCCUGGUGUAGCGGUGAAAUGCGCAGAUAUCAGGAGGAACACCUAAGGCGAAGGCAGCUCGCUGGAACGGUACUGACGCUGAGGCGCGAAAGCGUGGGGAGCAAACAGG